rnacentral:rRNA from 1 species
UGGGUGACGAGCGGCGGACGGGUGAGUAAUGUCUGGGAAACUGCCUGAUGGAGGGGGAUAACUACUGGAAACGGUAGCUAAUACCGCAUAAUGUCUUCGGACCAAAGCGGGGGACCUUCGGGCCUCGCGCCAUCAGAUGAACCCAUAUGGGAUUAGCUUGUAGGUGAGGUAACGGCUCACCUAGGCGACGAUCCCUAGCUGGUCUGAGAGGAUGAUCAGCCACACUGGUACUGAGACACGGACCAGACUCCCACGGGAGGCAGCAGUGAGGAAUAUUGGACAAUGGGUGAGAGCCUGAUCCAGCCAUCCCGCGUGAAGGACGACUGCCCUAUGGGUUGUAAACUUCUUUUGUAUAGGGAUAAACCUACCCUCGUGAGGGUAGCUGAAGGUACUAUACGAAUAAGCCCCGGCUAACUUCGUGCCAGCAGCCGCGGUAAUACGAAGGGGGCUAGCGUUGUUCGGAAUUACUGGGCGUAAAGCGCGCGUAGGCGGUUUUACAAGCCAGAGGUGAAAUGCCUGAGCUCAACUUAGGAAUUGCCUUUGGAACUGUAUGGCUUUGAGGACGAGAGAGGUGAGUGGAAUUCCCAGUGUAAGGUGAAA